rnacentral:rRNA from 1 species
GACGAACGCUGGCGGCGUGCUUAACACAUGCAAGUCGAACGGAAAGGCCCUGCUUUUGUGGGGUGCUCGAGUGGCGAACGGGUGAGUAACACGUGAGUAACCUGCCCUUGACUUUGGGAUAACUUCAGGAAACUGGGGCUAAUACCGGAUAGGAGCUCCUGCUGCAUGGUGGGGGUUGGAAAGUUUCGGCGGUUGGGGAUGGACUCGCGGCUUAUCAGCUUGUUGGUGGGGUAGUGGCUUACCAAGGCUUUGACGGGUAGCCGGCCUGAGAGGGUGACCGGCCACAUGGGGACUGAGAUACGGCCCAGACUCGUACGGGAGGCAGCAGUGGGGAAUAUUGCACAAUGGGCGGAAGCCUGAUGCAGCAACGCCGCGUGCGGGAUGACGGCCUUCGGGUUGUAAACCGCUUUCGCCUGUGACGAAGCGGGAGUGACGGUAAUGGGUAAAGAAGCACCGGCUAACUACGUG